rnacentral:antisense_RNA from 1 species
CACCAAAAUAUUCGCCCUCGCCCAAGAGAGCGAUGCGCAGCUCCUCGCCGUGAGGACCGCUGCUGAUAACCUCAGCCUGACCGUUGGCAACGAUGAAGAACUUCUGCUUGUCCUUGCCUUCCUGAACAAAUAGUUGACCGAUGCCCAACUCCUUUGUCUCGAACGAACGUGCAAGACGGUUUACAAUCUCGUCGUCGAACUCAGAAAACAGCGGAAUAGUCUUCAGGCUCUUAGCCGAAAACGAUGGCUCGCCGUUGAGAUAUUGUAUCGGGAGACGCUCGCUCUUGCGCAGUUCUACCUUUGUGCGGUUUACACGGAAUGUUCCGCCGCUAACCUGCACCCAAGGCAAGAUUUUAAGCAACAGUCUUGGAGUUAUCGAGCCCAUUUGAGGGGCUGUCUUGGUUGUUGUAGCCAGUUUUCUGGCGGUUGCAGUAG